CGCAAUGUGGUGUAAUGGAACAUAUGAGAUUCAUGAUCUUGUGUUAACAGUUCGAAUCUGUUCAUUGCAA
rnacentral:tRNA from 1 species